UACGUAGGGUGCGAGCGUUAAUCGGAAUUACUGGGCGUAAAGCGUGCGCAGGCGGUUCGUUAUGUCCGAUGUGAAAGCCCCGAGCUCAACUUGGGAAUGGCAUUGGAAACUGGCGGGCUGGAGUGUGGCAGAGGGGGGGUGGAAUUCCACGUGUAGCAGUGAAAUGCGUAGAGAUGUGGAGGAACACCGAUGGCGAAGGCAGCCUCCUGGGCCAGCACUGACGCUCAUGCACGAAAGCGUGGGGAGCAAACAGG
rnacentral:rRNA from 1 species